GAAAGCUAGAUAGAUGGAGAACAGGAAU
rnacentral:piRNA from 1 species